UCUGGGAAUUUGAAGACUGACUCGAGUAGACCGUCUGCGUGUUUUUGGAAGUUGGGAGUUGACUGAACUUAAGCUAGAAAAAAAUGAAUCGAGGCAUCAAGAGACACAAGGGGCGAGCGGAGAAAAAGAGAGAUAUCUAAGAGAGCGCUGUUGGAUGGCGGUGAAAAAUGCUGCAAACUGACUGAGUUGUUUUCAAUAUCAAGUGCAGCUUGAGCUAGCACUAGCGCUAAUCCUGCUAGCAUUAAUGUUAGCGACACAGCUGAGCCAGCACACCGGGAGAGAGACAGGACAGUGACGAAUAUGAGCAAGAGGAGGAUGAAGAGGUAGACGUGACUGCAUGACGGUCUGUAAUGGGACAUGAAGUCUGGCCGCCGGCGUGACCAUCGGAUAAAUGAACCUCUAUCCGCCAGUGAAACUCUAUCCCCCUUACUAUCCUGGACUCUACAACGAGCGCUUUUGGCACAUUACCACCUGCAUCAGUACUGACCGCUGGAAGUCAGUGGUUACAUCGGACAUACAGUAGGAAGCAGUGGAAUCCGUAAAUACUUACAACUGGUGAGAACAAGAGGCCAAAAGGACACGACACAACUGAAACAUCACUUUUUAACCAUCCUAGUGAUUUCCACCAUUAUUCUGUCAGCCCGUCUGACCAGAUAUUUAUGAAUGAUUAUGAUUACAAAUGUCAAACAGUAAAAUUUGACUGUAACAGCAUGACAUUUGACACGUUUCAGUCCCAAUGUUAAGACUACUUUCAUAUGUCCAGUGAUGGACGAGACAUUCUAAUGUUCACUUUAAGUAAAUGUUGUGAUUUCCAGCUGUAUAAAGAUUUCAUUACAAGUAAAAGUAAGUGAGAGAACAAAAUUGUUUCCUUUUGGGAUAAAGGCUUAGUAACGUGUGUAACAUUCCUUGUGUAAAAAAUGUUAAAUAUUUUGUUGUGGUAUGUAAAUAUAUUUAUAUAACUUGUUUGCUGUUCCAAGGAGUCAUAUUUUCUCUACCCACUCUAGUUGCUGUAACAUCAGGGAAAACACAGGAAACACAAGAUUACACGUCAGAGAGUGACUCUUGUACAAUACAAGCUAUUGUUUGUUUUCCUCAUGAUGGAGCAGCCAAACAGGUACUCAGCUUAUCUAAUGAUAAGUUAACAAGUUAACUGUGGCGAUUUUAAUUAGAAUGAAAUGACAUCAUGUGAAUAAACAGAAAAUCAACAAGAAUUGAAUUCAUUACCUCCGUAAAUAUGAUUUUAUGCUCACUCAAAUAUGGAUUUUAACAAAAGUUUGUGGUUGUUGCUAUCCAGCUAAGAUGAUCAUAUGUGUUGCAUGUAAAAUGUUAUCCGGCAGAGUCACUUCUGAUGUAAAUGUUGUGAAGUAAAAAGGGCAAUAUUUUUCCAAAAUGUAGUAGAGCCAAGUUAUAAAGAGCAUUUAGAGUUAAAUUCAAAACUUAUGAUGGAUUAUACAUGUGUAAAUGUAACUUAAAAUGAAUUUAUUACACUGUUAUUAAAACUGAACAACUAAAUGUUAAUAAGUAAAUUUAACAUUUAAUUCAGUCAAAUCAUGUCAGAAUUCUGCAGUAAUCAAGGCUGAACGCAUAGAGUGUGAAUUAUUGACAAAAGCACAAUCAAAAAUGAAUAAACUGGCCAUCCAUUUACAAAAGUUAACUCUUUACAGCCUCAUUCCCUAUAAACAACUAUAGAGCGCAACAAAACAUGAUGGACACAUCAUCAAUAUAUCAACAUGCAAGGAGGGUUUAUAACCAAGUAUGAUAUCUUAUUGGAGCUAUAGCUUACAGCUUAUAUGUAGUGGUUUAUAUUGUUAUUAAUGUUGUAAAACUUACUUUAUGGGAACUUCUACCCCAGUUAUACAAUUACAUUAUUAUUAAUAACUUAAAUUGAACUACUCAGAAUGAUCAGAGCCAUGUUCCUGUUUACCUUUAAAGUUAAUAAAAAGUAAAGUAAACUAGUAAAUAUUAAAAGGUGGACCAACGUGUAUGCGUCCACAUUCAACCAUCCAUUCAUCCAUUGAUUUGUCCAAACAUGCAAAGGGAAGGACAGACAGACUAUUUCCACCUCAGGCUCAACACAUGGAGCAAGUUUGAACCAACAAACAAGAAGUCUGCUCUGUGAAAUACGAGUCCAAAAACAAAGCUCUCCCUUCAGUGAAACCCCCAACCCAGCACAA